rnacentral:rRNA from 1 species
UUGACCUCGGAUCAGGUAGGAUACCCGCUGAACUUAAGCAUAUCAAUAAGCGGAGGAAAAGAAACNAACAGGGAUUGCUNCAGUAACGGCGAGUGAAGCGGCCACAGCUCAAAUUUGAAAUCUGGCCCCCGGCCCGAGUUGUAAUUUGCAGAGGAUGCUUCGGGCGCGGCGCCUUCCAAGUCCCCUGGAACGGGGCGCCACAGAGGGUGAGAGCCCCGUACGGUUGGACGCCAAGCCCGUGUGAAGCUCCUUCGACGAGUCGAGUAGUUUGGGAAUGCUGCUCUAAAUGGGAGGUAGACCCCUUCUAAAGCUAAAUACCGGCUGGAGACCGAUAGCGCACAAGUAGAGUGAUCGAAAGAUGAAAAGAACUUUGAAAAGAGGGUUAAACAGCACGUGAAAUUGUUGAAAGGGAAGCGCUUGUGACCAGACUUGCGCCGGGGCGAUCCUCUGGCGUUCUCGCCAGGGCACUCGCCCCGGGGCAGGCCAGCGUCGGUUUGGGCGGGCGGACAAGGGCGUCGGGCACGUAGCUCCCUCGGGAGUGUUAUAGCCCGGCGCGCGAUGCUCCCGCCCGGACCGAGGUUCGCGCUCUGCAAGGACGCUGGCGUAAUGGUCACCAGCGGCCCGUCUUGAAACACGGACCAAGGAGUCGAGGUUCUGCGCGAGUGUAUGGGUGCCAAACCCGCACGCGCAAUGAAAGUGAACGUAGGUGGGAGCCUCGGCGCACCACCGACCGAUCCUGAUGUUCUCGGAUGGAUUUGAGUAGGAGCGUUGGGCCUCGGACCCGAAAGAUGGUGAACUAUGCUUGGAUAGGGUGAAGCCAGAGGAAACUCUGGUGGAGGCUCGCAGCGGUUCUGACGUGCAAAUCGAUCGUCAAAUCUGAGCAUGGGGGCGAAAGACUAAUCGAACCAUCUAGUAGCUGGUUACCGCCGAAGUUUCCCUCAGGAUAGCAGUGUUGUUUUCAGUUUUAUGAGGUAAAGCGAAUGAUUAGGGACUCGGGGGCGCUAUUUAGCCUUCAUCCAUUCUCAAACUUUAAAUAUGUAAGAAGCCCUUGUUGCUUAAUUGAACGUGGGCAUUCGAAUGUACCAACACUAGUGGGCCAUUUUUGGUAAGCAGAACUGGCGAUGUGGGAUGAACCAUACGCGAGGUUAAGGUGCCGGAGUGGACGCUCAUCAGACACCA